UGGAUUUCAUCCAGACGCAAUUCUAUUUUUCAUUCCAUUCCAUUCGAAGAAGAGUUGAUUUCAAAGAAGCUUGUUUUGUGGUGUUAACAGUUUUUGCAGAAACAACGUUGUAGAAAUGUUCAAAUAUUGCAUAUUGGUUAUGAAUUAUCAUCGAAUAAACACAAAAGAAGGCAGAUUUUCAAUUCUCCAUUUCGAAGAUGAUUAACAACAAAUUGUUGCAGCGGCAUUGAUAUCUUCAACAAGAUGGCGAUCCACCUCACUAUGCCGUUCCAGUUCGAUCUUAUUGCAAUCACUUAUUUUCUAACUGAUGGAUUAGGAGAAGAGGGCUAAGGAGUGGCCGGCAAAAUAAUCAGAUUUCACUCCGCUGGACUCUUUCUUUUAUCGAUAUCUGAUGAGUAAAGUUUACACUACUGGACCAAAUACUUUGGAUGAACAAAAAAUCUAAAUCCAAGAAGAGGUUGUCAGGAAGAAUUUAAAAUCGUUUAGGUUGCUGAAAAGCACUCACAAUAACGACAAGUACUGACAAGUUGCUCAAGGUGGCUCCCAACCCUCUAAAAGUAUAAAUAGUACCAAUUUGUCUCUGUUGUGCACUAAUUAAUGUUGCACUGAAAUUACAAACACCUUCAAGGAAGUUAGUUUGAUUAACAAUUAAAUAACACCAACUAUGGUUUUUCUGUAGUCCAAUUUUCAAAGACAAUUCCUCAGUUUAACAGCCUCAUUGUAAGUCUUUACUAUAAGGCUGGCUUCCUAUCUGCUUGGAGACUAUACUUGUUUUUGAAAAAGUGGCGUAGCGUGGGUGUCGGCGGUUAUAAGAAUUUCCCAGCGAAAAAAAUGAAUAGCAACGUUUUAAUGUGCCAACAAAAGACUUAACUUGCCUCAACUGAGGCAGUAUGUAAACAAAGUAGGUUUAACCAAUGAUUUGAGCAAGGUAUAAAUUCAACUUUGGGAUAUAUUUCUUUAGUUCUUUGCUGAACUCCUGAAUGCCUUCCAGCCAUUUUCAUUUCCAGCCCGUUGGUUAUAUCAUUUCAGAAAUAGCUCUACUUUCCUCUUCAUCUAUGCCAAUACCUUUCUUUGAAAAUUUAUAUCCUUACAUUUUUCUAAAUUGAACAUUACAUUUUUUCCUUUAGCUAUUUGAAAGACUUGUUCUAAAAUUUUGUCAUGUUCUUCAUCUGUGUUAGCAUGUAUUAAUACAGAUAAUAUAAUCAAUAUAUAGUUUUACUCCUGGAAUUUGAAAUAUUUCUUUAAAGUAUUUUUGAAAAACUUCACUUGCUGUUUUAAUACCAAAUGGUAAUCUUAAAAAUUUAAAUCUUCCAAACGCUGUUCCAAAUGUACAUAAAUUGCUAGAUUGUUCAUCUAAACAAAUGUUCUAAAAUCUACUAGUAGCAUCUAAAAUGCAGAAUUUAACUGAACCAUUCAAACUAUUACAAAUUUAAUUUAUAUUGGGAAGUUUAAAUUUCCUGGACUUUAUCUAAAAGGCUUAAACGUUGUAGUCUUUUAGAUCUAAACAUAUUUUUAAGCUUCCAUUGGCUUUACAAACUAAUACAUAAAUAUGAAUUUCACCAUUCUGUGCUACCCUCUACUUAUUCAAUUCUCUUGUAGUUUCUCCAAAUUAUUUAAGCAUUUUCUAAACUGAUCUAAUAUAAAAGGUAGAUUUCUGAUGGAGUUUAUAGUAGGUUUUAUGUUUUCUUCAACUUCUAUUUUAUAUGGUUUUUCAAUUUUACCCUUCAAAAAUUUGU